UCGGUUUGAACGGAAGGCGCGUUCCACUGCGAUCAGGAAAAUUAGCAUCAAAAUGUUAGCUAAAUUAGAGUUUUAGGAAAUUCAGACAUUGGUAUUAUUAGCUUUAUUCUAACUUGUGUAACUGUACACGAAUUUACAGCCUCAUGUGUCAUAUCUCGGAGUCGAAGAGACCCGGCUUUGUUUUGUAAGUUUGUAUCUCCGAGAUGAGUGUGUUCAAGGGAAACGGUCCUGUGUAUCUGAAAACCUACGGGAAGCACAAAAGGAAGGUGGAAACGUGGCUGUCUCCUGACGUCAGGAAAAAUGUGUUCUCAAGCACUUCCUCAUCAGAUCUCUCCUUCAGCAUGAUGAGCAGCAGUCAGCUACCAAAGAGGAAGAAGAAACUGAAGUCCACAGCUUCUUCCAGGUCAACACGGGCAGCCAAACAAAAAGCCCUUACUGCUUUGAAAGAAAAAGACGAUGAUGAUGAAAAUAUUUUCCCUCCACCCUCUGAACCCUCUGAAAAUGACCAGAAAAGAGAAGACCCACUAAAGAUCACAUUACCAAAGCUGGUGACAAAGAGGAAGAAGUUGUCAAUACUGAGCACUUCUGAAAGGGAAGACAAGAGCCCAUAUAAUAGCAAAGAAGAAAGGCAACAGAGCUCUUGUGUGGGAAGAGCACAAAAAAGUGUAAAGUAAGA
rnacentral:lncRNA from 1 species